GAUGAAGAACGUAGCGAAAUGCGAUAAGUAAUGUGAAUUGCAGAAUUCAGUGAAUCAUCGAAUCUUUGAACGCACCUUGCACUCCUUGGUAUUCCGAGGAGUACGCCUGUUCGAGUGUUAUGAAGCUCUCAAAACGCAAUUGGCUUAAAACCUGAUUGUUGUUUUGGAUUUGAACUUUGCCGUGUUUAACGGCUGGUUUUAAAAGUAUUAGCUGGUACUAGAACGAAUUGGUUCUACUCAACGUGAUAAUUAUCUGAUCGUUGAGGACAUUCCUUUCACGAGGAAUGGCCAUAGUAAAUUCAAUGGACUGCUUCUAAUCUGGCUUUAAUUCUUUAUUGGAUUAACCACUUUUCAAAUCUGACCUCGAAUCAGGUGGGACUACCCGCUGAACUUAAGCAUAUCAAUAAGCGGAGGA
rnacentral:misc_RNA from 1 species